GCGAGUUAAUAAUAAACUCCAAACCCCUGUGAACAUACCUACUGUUGCCUCGGCAGGUCGUGCUGCACGGUUUGUAGCUCCUACCCUGGAGUAGCUACCCUAGAGUAGCUACCCUGUAGUUGGGAGCGCCUACCCUGUAGCACGCAACCAGGCCUGCCGGCGGACCCCUAAACUCUGUUUUUACAACUGUAUCUCUGAGUUUACUAUAUAAAUAAGUUA
rnacentral:misc_RNA from 1 species